rnacentral:rRNA from 1 species
AUGAAGGAAUUAUCUGAGAUGAUUUCAUCGGCGUACAAGGCAGCCAGUACUAAACCCAAUAAUCAUCCGGCAACAACCCAGACGCAGUUCACACAUGGGGUUGCCUCUGCUAUCUGGGACAAGUACCCUGGGAUGGUGUGGCCACAUGUGGAGGGAAGUUCAGCUGCCUCUGCUAUGUGGUACAAUUACCCCGGAAAGCCGUGGAGACAAGUGGGGAAGAGUUCGGCCGGUGCACGAGUUUCUCAGACUAAUGCACGCCCACCUCCAGUUCUGAUACAUGGUACCAAGUCCAUCUGGGAUAGGUACGAGGAGAGCCUGCAGUACUAUAAUGAGAGCCUGUCACACAAACGCGAGGUGUUGCCUGUAAAGAGCAAAGCGCUUGCUGGAUAUGGACGCAAGAUUUUCAUCAACCUGGAGAGAGAGGAGACCAGUCGUACUGAAGCAUCAGGCAAGAUUGUCAUCAACCUGGAGAGCCAUGACACGCAGAAAGACACCACGGACGACGUGCACGCCGCUGUUACACCGCAGGAAGACGCAAUGGACGAGGUGCACGCCGCAGUUACUCUGCAGAAGGACACCAUGAACGAGGUGCAUGCUGCAGUUACUCUGCAGGAAGACAACUACCAACCCGCUGCAGAGAAUGUGCAGUCUGAGCCUUUCAGUGAUUGGGAAGAGGUGGAGAAAUUCUGGAUGAACCAGAUGGGAGGACAGGGGCAAGAGGAGCAAGUCCUUGAACCAAUGGAUCUGCUCCAGAUAGACGGCAUUGACCCAGAGGAACUGCUCCAGGAAGACGAAACCUGGAACCAGGCGCUUCAGCCAGCAAACCCGGUGAAUGUCGUGGACAACGUACCCAUGGCUGAAGAACCGGCCGCUGGAAACGCCCCGGCGUAA